GCAAACUUGGUCAUUUAGAGGAAGUAAAAGUUGUAACAAGGUUUCCGUAGGUGAACCUGCGGAAGGAUCAUUAACAAAUCCAAUCUUUGUGGGUACCUCUUUGGUGCUUGCGAAUAUUAGUCCGCUGGUCAUUUUUGAUUGAUGACUAGUCGAUGUAUAUAUAAAUUAUAUGUUGUGUAGACUGUGUGUGUGCGUGCGAUAAUUAUUUAUUUACAACUUUUAACAAUGGAUCUCUAGGCUCUUGCAUCGAUGAAGAACGCAGC
rnacentral:misc_RNA from 1 species